CCGCGAGGACGACCUCGAUUCACUCACAUAUCCGCAGGGACGGCCCUG
rnacentral:ncRNA from 1 species